CAUCAAUUAUCAAAUAUUUUUGUUGAUAUGCUGAAUUUGUAUCGCCUAUAUAGUGAUCAUAUUCUAGAGGCGUGUCAACAGCAGGGAGAGGUUGCUACGCGCUACACGCUCUACAAGGCCAUGAGAGGAGUCAAGUCCGAGAUUUUAGAUCUUUUGACUACUUUUUUUGAGAAUAUCAAUGAUUUAGAG
rnacentral:ribozyme from 1 species